rnacentral:rRNA from 1 species
AGUGAACGCUGGCGGUAGGCCUAACACAUGCAAGUCGAACGGCAGCACAGUAAGAGCUUGCUCUUACGGGUGGCGAGUGGCGGACGGGUGAGGAAUACAUCGGAAUCUACUUUUUCGUGGGGGAUAACGUAGGGAAACUUACGCUAAUACCGCUUACGACCUACGGGUGAAAGCAGGGGAUCUUCGGACCUUGCGCGAUUGAAUGAGCCGAUGUCGGAUUAGCUAGUUGGCGGGGUAAAGGCCCACCAAGGCGACGAUCCGUAGCUGGUCUGAGAGGAUGAUCAGCCGCACUGGAACGGAGACACGGACCAGACUACUACGGGAGGCAGCAGUGGGGAAUAUUGGACAGUGGGGGCAAGCCUGAUCCAGCCAUACCGCGUGGGUGAAGGAGGCGUUCGGGUUGUAAAGCCCUUUUGUUGGGAAAGAAAAGCAGCAGGUUAAUACCCCGCUGUUCUGACGGUACCCAAAGAAUAAGCACCGGCUAACUUCGUG